rnacentral:rRNA from 1 species
AAAAACAUCGCCUCCCGCAAAAAUCAAUGUAUAGGAGGUCCUGCCUGCCCAGUGACUAUGUUAAACGGCCGCGGUAUUUUGACCGUGCAAAGGUAGCGCAAUCACUUGUCUUUUAAAUGAAGACCUGUAUGAAUGGUGGAACGAGGGCCUAACUGUCUCCCCUUUCAAGUCAAUGAAAUUGAUCUGCCCGUGCAGAAGCGGACAUACAAAUACAAGACGAGAAGACCCUUUGGAGCUUAAGAUUAAAAAUCAACUAUGUCAAAUAUUUAUUAAAUAAAACUAAAUAGCAACUGAUAAUAAUCUUCGGUUGGGGCGACCACGGAAUAAAAAUAAACUUCCACACGGACUGAGGACUAACCUUAAAACUAAGAAAAACAUUUCUAAGUCACAGAAUUUCUGACCAUAUAGAUCCGGCAAAUUGCCGAUCAAUGGACCAAGUUACCCUAGGGAUAACAGCGCAAUCCCCUUUUAGAGUUCCUAUCGACAAGGGGGUUUACGACCUCGAUGUUGGAUCAGGACAUCCUAAUGGUGCAGCCGCUAUUAAGGGUUC